GAUGAAGAACGCAGCGAAAUGCGAUAAGUAAUGCGAAUUGCAGAAUUCAGUGAGUCAUCGAAUCUUUGAACGCACAUUGCGCCCCUUGGUAUUCCAUGGGGCAUGCCUGUUCGAGCGUCAUUUGUACCUUCAAGCUCUGCUUGGUGUUGGGUGUUUGUCUCGCCUCUGCGUGUAGACUCGCCUCAAAACAAUUGGCAGCCGGCGUAUUGAUUUCGGAGCGCAGUACAUCUCGCGCUUUGCACUCAUAACGACGACGUCCAAAAGUACAUUUUUACACUCUUGACCUCGGAUCAGGUAGGGAUACCCGCUGAACUUAAGCAUAUCAAUAAGCGGAGGA
rnacentral:misc_RNA from 1 species